GAUUAGGUGACUUGACUUCAUCUUUUAUUCAUACUAUUAAAUUACUUCAGAAAUUCCCUUUGUUAUUUCUAACCUUUUCAUUUUUCUCCUUCCAAGUCAAUAUACUUGCUUGUUUUGUAGUAUCUGUACACACGGUCAAAAUUCAUAUAAAUACAUCCAAACGCAUUGAGCUUGAUAUUCAAGUUCUAAAAAAAAGCUUUCAAAAUUGUUACUUAAUAAUUCGUAUAGGUUUGCAAUGGCAGCAUUCUCUAACUCCAUAAGGUCCAUAGUGAUUACACUUAUGAUUUAUGCUAUUCUCCUGUCUCCCUUGCUAUUAUGGUCCUGCGAUGCAGCUAGAACCCCUCAAGAAUUCGUGGCGAGCAAGUCUACCGUAGCAUGUCUUCAUUGUGUGGGGUGUUGUGAACCACCACCCCCAGGUGCCUGUUGCACCCGCUGUGGUUGUUGAAGCUCCUCUUUUCUACAAGUCAAAUGAAGAAGUCUCAUGAUAAGCAAUUGGUGUGUCUCUGAGUAAUGUGCAUGUUAUACUCAAUAAAGAAACAACUUGGUUUCUUUAGGUUAAUUAGGCGUGUUAUUUGUACACUGUGGGAAAUGUCGAGUUUGUAACGUUUUGUAUUUAGUGAAUAAAUUAAGAGAAAAGAUUUCGAGAGGAAAACCCGAACUUUUAUCUUUUCUGGUU